CACGUAGGGGGCAAGCGUUGUCCGGAUUUAUUGGGCGUAAAGAGCUCGUAGGCGGCUCAGUAAGUCGGGUGUGAAACCUCCAGGCUCAACCUGGAGACGCCACCCGAUACUGCUGUGGCUUGAGUCCGGUAGGGGAGCGUGGAAUUCCUGGUGUAGCGGUGAAAUGCGCAGAUAUCAGGAGGAACACCAGCGGCGAAGGCGGGCGCUCUGGGCCGGAACUGACGCUGAGGAGCGAAAGCGUGGGUAGCAAACAGG
rnacentral:rRNA from 1 species